rnacentral:lncRNA from 1 species
CCAGCUUUGGACAAAAGUCUGAGCCGGUGCGUUCCAAAGUCCCUGGCAGAGCUGGCUGUGGUGGGGAUACGCUGCCCCGCCGCCUCUCUGUCCACGCUCGGCUCACCCCUGUCCUCAGGUGCAUCACCCACACCCUUGCACCCAGUCUCGAUCCUCUGGUGGGGACGUCCCAGGACUUGCCAGCUGGGAUGGGCCUCCGCCGAGAGCUCU